UCGUUUAUGCAGUGACUGCCGCAGAAUGCCGCAGAUGUCGUUCGUUUACUCCACCUGCGCAACCGACUGCAGCGCAGUUUGUUGUUCGUUUAAGCAGAGCUGCUGCCUAUCUGCGCAGCCAUCUCGGAGGUCCUGCUCAGGAUGCUUUGCUCGCAGUACUGCGGACUACUGCGUAAACGAAUGUAGUCUUCUCCAUUGUUAAGCCAAUUGAACUUGGAAACGUUGCCUGAAAAUUAUUUCAAUUAUGAGUUAUGUUAUGAAAGUUCAGAACAAAGAAGGUGGAGAAUAACUCCUCCAAAUAGGUCCUACAAAACUAAAAGUAAUGCAAGUCAUUCCUAGCUAUCAAGCUACUUCGUCCCCAGUUAGUUUGGAAAAAUCUGAGAAGUCUACAUUCAGCAACAUUUCAAUCCUACCGUCAUCACUGUCUGAAAAUGUUAUGUGCACACGUCAUAUGUCAGAACCUUCAACCUAUUUAAAAAUUUUAUUAUAUUUAUUCAAAUAAUAAUUCAUAUUUAUUUAAAAUUUCUUUACUUACGCACUCCAAUUACAAUCUGAGCAGUCAAUUCACGCAGGUGAUCGUUCGAUAAAUGAUGUCACGUGACUCGCAGAUAAUAGACGCAGUGGAUGCGCUAAUCGCUGCAUAAACGAAUGCACCCUUGUACUCUGUACUCCUGCUGUCAUUGAGUACGUUUACACGCACCUUUAAUCGGGUUUAAGAACAUCCAUAGUUGUAAAACUGGCCAAUCACAGCUAUUCCCCUGAAGAAUGGAACGGCUGUGAUUGGCCAGUCUUACAACUACAGAUGUUAUUAAAAUCGAUUAAGGGUGCCGUGUAAACGUAUUCAGAGAGAAACAUUAAUCUGGAACACUGGUUGGGUCUAGAAAUCUCUAGGGAUUUCUAGAUCCUCACAGGUAUCCCUAUUUUUUGUUGAAUUUUAUACUGAGCUACUGCUGCUACCUUGGGCGACAAAUUUGAAAUGUUAAUAAAAAGCAUGAUUAUUGUAA